UUAGCUUACGGUUAGGCAGGUAGGUAGCUUGUCAGGGGUUGUGUUCACGGGCGGACUCGACGCCGGGAUGCUCGUGGCGCUCCCGCGGCCGCCAUUUCGUGCCAGACUUCUGGUGCGUAAUGGGGGUUUUCGCGGGCCGCAAAGCGGCGUCCCGGUGUAAUUGCCUCGUCGGCUUGUCCCCACACUUCAAGAUACUGGCAACGUUUGAACUUCAAGUCUGCACAACGCGUCGCGUCGGGGAGCUGCUACGGGAGGAGCGCAGCUUCAACUUGGCUGCUAGACCAGAGUGCACAUGGACCAGCCGUGGCUUCGCGCUCAAGCGUUAUUCGAGCGCUGACGUACUGACACGCCCCGUGCCACACCGGCGUAUCUUGCGCACUGUAUAUCGCCGACGGGAGUCCUGAUGGCGGACGUGCUCCCGGCAUUGGAUCGAGAGCGCAGACUGUCUUCACACGUCCCCUGCGCCACAACGGCAGAUCUUCCUGGCGGGUAUCCUCCUGACACUGCCUCAACUCUACAAACUUUGUGCCGCCGGGUCUAGCAACAGUAGAGGAGGUCAUCGUCAACGAGUUUCAAUGCUGGCAACGCAUCGGGCAC